UUUUGCCUAGAAACACAUAAUAUCCUUAAGAGAUAAAUAGAGCAGGUGUUUUUAAGCCCAUUUUACAGAUGGGAAACUGAGUUCAAGGACUUUGUUACCCGAAAAGGUCAUUUAGCCCAAGUAGUUACUCCUGAGACUCAAACCUAGACGCCAAGCUCAUUCCUUUCAAUUACAUUUUCAAGAGUAUUAGAUUAAGAAUCUGAGAAUGGAAUUCUGAUCCUAGCUAUCUGGCCACCGAGUAGCUCAAUUAACACAUCUGGAUAUUAGAUUCUUUGUGAAUAUAAUGAGGUUAUCGGGAGUUGGGAGUUGCUAAAGUCUCUCUUAGCUCAAAAUUUCUCCAUUUUAUAAAAGGAAGACAAACUAGGUAACUGAAGUUGUUUCCAUAAUUAGGGGCAAAAAAAGAAAAACCUUUCUGUCUCUCAGUUCUGAGCUCUGUCCUGUGUUAAGCAUGCUAUGUUGUUCUGAUUUCCAGUACUGCCAACCCCAGGAGGUGUGUGGACCUUCAUCAUCCUACCUUUGAACUUCCCCUUCAGGGACAGUCUCCUGACACGACCUUCAUAGAUCCGGCAAUGCCCAGCUGUGGGGCCUAUAAAUACCAGGUUUGAAUUUCAAGUGUUCUAUUUCAUACCAGAAGUUGAAACCAAUGAAUGACUGCUUUCGUGAUGGAAUC
rnacentral:lncRNA from 1 species